CCUCGCUGAAUCUAGUGGGCAUGGCAGCAUCAAGUGCGCAGGCGCAGUAGAGUUUGUUUAAACUAACGGUACAGCUUGUAUCAAGUACUCCGGACGACCAAAGAUGGAACUGAAAAUCUUCAUUGUUCUCUUCUGCGCUCUUUUCACUGGAGGACAUUCACUACAAUGUAAUGAGUGUUCAGGUAUAAUGGGUUCUUGUGAAAGCAAAGUGAAGAUGUGUCCAGGCACUGAAACAUGUUCAAGUGUAACAACUGUAGUAUCAACUGGUGGCACUGAACUUAAAAUGCAGUCUAAGGGUUGUGCAGUGACGGAGAGUUGUAUAAAUGCAUCUUCUAACCUCGAAUUUACAAGGACAGUAACAUCUACACAAUGCUGUAACACAGACCUUUGUAAUAGCAAAGACGCCCCAGGUAUG